rnacentral:rRNA from 1 species
CAGGUCAGGCGGGGCUACCCGCUGAGUUUAAGCAUAUCA